CAAAUAAGGUGUGUACAGUGAAAAUUCUCAUUUCACUUGUGCGUUCUGCGAAAGAACAACGGUUUUUUGAUUUGCUACGAGCGGAGCUAACUCUAGCAAAAAUUAGCUCAACUGCAAUGGCGCGGAGGAAGAUGUCAGAUGUGGAGGCGGAAGAAAUAUUUCGGAGCGAUGUUGAGCUGGAAAACUCUUCUUAUAGCUAGUGGGAUUCGGAGGAGGAGGAAGAGGAGAGAGCCGGACACAGCUGACAGACUUGAUCUCGGUGAUGUUGGAAACCGAACCAUCAAGCUCAGAUGGAGCUGAACCUCCCCCCACCUCUCAUGAUUCUUCAUCUUCUUUGAGUGGAGAUCGUGCAGGAGAGGUGGUGGUGGUGGUGGAUUUUCAAAAUUGUUUAUUUGUUCUUGGAAAUUACUUCAAAAAGUAUUUUUGACUGUUUUACCUUGUUUCAAUAAAAGUUUUCUAUUUGGAGUCAAAGAAAGAGCUUUCAGUUCAUCAUUAUUAUACAUAUUAUACUGUGCACAAUGGUACAUUUUGCAUAUAAAUGGGGUAAAUGUCAUGACCAAUGGUUAUAUUAUAUGUAGAAAGUGUCAUUAGAUGGUAAUAAGCUAUUUAAUUUUAACAAACCCCCAGUAUUGAUG